UACGGAGGGGGCGAGCGUUAUUCGGAAUUAUUGGGCGUAAAGGGCGCGUAGGCGGUCAGCACAAGUCAGUUGUGAAAUCUCCGAGCUUAACUCGGAAAGGUCAACUGAUACUGUGCGACUAGAGUGCGGAAGGGGCAACUGGAAUUCUUGGUGUAGCGGUGAAAUGCGUAGAUAUCAAGAGGAACACCUGCGGCGAAGGCGGGUUGCUGGGCCGACACUGACGCUGAGGCGCGAAAGCCAGGGGAGCGAACGGG
rnacentral:rRNA from 1 species